CACGUAGGCACCAAGCGUUGUCCGGAUUUAUUGGGCGUAAAGAGCUCGUAGGCGGUUCGGUAAGUCGGGUGUGAAAACUUUGGGCUCAACCCAAAGCCUGCACUCGAUACUGCUGUGACUUGAGUCCGGUAGGGGAGUGGGGAAUUCCUGGUGUAGCGGUGGAAUGCGCAGAUAUCAGGAGGAACACCGGCGGCGAAGGCGGCACUCUGGGCCGGUACUGACGCUGAGGAGCGAAAGCGUGGGUAGCAAACAGG
rnacentral:rRNA from 1 species